GUGCCAGCAGCCGCGGUAAUUCCAGCUCCAAUAGCGUAUAUUAAAGUUGUUGUGGUUAAAAAGCUCGUAGUUGAACCUUGGGCCUGGCUGGCCGGUCCGCCUCACCGCGUGCACUGGUCCGGCCGGGCCUUUCCCUCUGUGGAACCCCAUACCCUUCACUGGGCGUGGCGGGGAAACAGGACAUUUACUUUGAAAAAAUUAGAGUGCUCCAGGCAGGCCUAUGCUCGAGUACAUUAGCACGGAAUAAUAAAAUAGGACGCGCGGUUCUAUUUUGUUGGUUUAUAGGACCGCCGUAAUGAUUAAUAGGGACAGUCGGGGGCAUCAGUAUUCAACUGUCAGAGGUGAAAUUCUUGGAUCAGUUGAAGACUAACUACUGCGAAAGCAUUUGCCAAGGAUGUUUUCAUUAAUCAGGAACGAAAGUUAGGGGAUCGAAGACGAUCAGAUACCGUCGUAGUCUUAACCAUAAACUAUGCCGACUAGGGAUCGGACGGUGUUAUUCAUGACCCGUUCGGCACCUUACGAGAAAUCAAAGUGCUUGGGCUCCAGGGGGAGUAUGGUCGCAAGGCUGAAACUUAAAGAAAUUGACGGAAGGGCACCACCAGGGGGUGGAGCCUGCGGCUUAAUUUGACUCACACGGGGAAACUCACCAGGUCCAGACACAAUAAAGGAUUGACAGAUUGAGAGCUCUUUCUUGAUUUUGUGGGUGGUGGUGCAUGGCCGUUCUUAGUUGGGGGGGUGACUUGUCUGCUUAAUUUG
rnacentral:rRNA from 1 species